UCUAAGGUCGUAGGAGGUUAUACAGGCAAAUCCGUAUAACAAUACUCCGAGAACUGAAAGGCUUUUUGAAGUCUUCGGAUGGAAAGAAGAACCCCUGAUGCCGUCGAGCCAAGAAAAGUUUCUAAGUUUAGCUAAUGUUGCCCGUACCGUAAACCGACACAGGUGGGUGGGAUGAGUAUUCUAAGGCGCGUGGAAGAACUCUCUUUAAGGAACUCUGCAAAAUAGCACCGUAUCUUCGGUAUAAGGUGUGCCUCCCUUUGUAUUAGAAUUCACUUCGAAAGCAAAGAAGGUUACAACAAAGAGUCCCUCCCGACUGUUUACCAAAAACACAGCACUCUGCUAACUCGUAAGAGGAUGUAUAGGGUGUGACGCCUGCCCGGUGCUCGAAGGUUAAUUGAUGGGGUUAGCAUUAGCGAAGCUCUUGAUCGAAGCCCGAGUAAACGGCGGCCGUAACUAUAACGGUCCUAAGGUAGCGAAAUUCCUUGUCGGUUAAAUACCGACCUGCAUGAAUGGCGUAACGAGAUGGGAGCUGUCUCAAAGAGGGAUCCAGUGAAAUUGUAGUGGAGGUGAAAAUUCCUCCUACCCGCGGCAAGACGGAAAGACCCCGUGGACCUUUACUACAGCUUGACACUGCUAUUUGGAUAAGAAUGUGCAGGAUAGGUGGGAGGCUUUGAGUAUAUGACGCCAGUUGUAUAUGAGCCAUUGUUGAGAUACCACUCUUUCUUAUUUGGGUAGCUAACCAGCUUGAGUUAUCCUCAAGUGGGACAAUGUCUGGUGGGUAGUUUGACUGGGGCGGUCGCCUCCCAAAUAAUAACGGAGGCUUACAAAGGUUGGCUCAUAGCGGUUGGAAAUCGCUAGUAGAGUAUAAAGGUAUAAGCCAGCUUAACUGCAAGACAUACAAGUCAAGCAGAGACGAAAGUCGGUCUUAGUGAUCCGGUGGUUCUGUGUGGAAGGGCCAUCGCUCAAAGGAUAAAAGGUACCCCGGGGAUAACAGGCUGAUCUCCCCCAAGAGCUCACAUCGACGGGGAGGUUUGGCACCUCGAUGUCGGCUCAUCGCAUCCUGGGGCUGGAGCAGGUCCCAAGGGUAUGGCUGUUCGCCAUUUAAAGCGGUACGCGAGCUGGGUUCAGAACGUCGUGAGACAGUUCGGUCCCUAUCUGCCGUGGGCGUAAGAAGAUUGAAGAGAUUUGACCCUAGUACGAGAGGACCGGGUUGAACAAACCACUGGUGUAGCUGUUGUUCUGCCAAGAGCAUCGCAGCGUAGCUAAGUUUGGAAAGGAUAAACGCUGAAAGCAUCUAAGCGUGAAGCCAACUCUAAGAUGAAUCUUCUCUAAGCUCUCUAGAAGACUACUAGUUUGAUAGGCUGGGUGUGUAAUGGAUGAAAGUCCUUUAGCUGACCAGUACUAAUAGAGCGUUUGGCUUAUCUUAUAAAUA
rnacentral:rRNA from 1 species